CAAAGGUAGCAUAAUCAUUAGUUUUUUAAUUGAAAACUUGUAUGAAAGGCUGCACAAAAGAGGAGCUGUCUUUAAGGAAUAAAAAUUGAAAUUUAUUUUUAAGUGAAAAAGCUUAAAUAUUUUAAAGGGACGAUAAGACCCUAUAAAGCUUUAUAUGUUAAUUGAAUUUAUUUGGUUUAAAAUAAUAAAAAUUAAGUUUAAUAUUAUAUUUUAUUGGGGCGAUAUAAGUAAAAAUUUUUUUAACUGCUUAAAAGAAAAUCAAUUAUAGUUGAUUAAGUUUAAUGAUCCUUUAUAAAGAUUAAAAGAUUAAGUUACUUUAGGGAUAACAGCGCUAUUUUUUUUGAGAGUUCAUAUCGAAAAAAGAGUUUGUGACCUCGAUGUUGAAUUAAAAUGUCUAUAUAUUGUAGCAGAUAUAAUAGAAGGUCUGUUCGACCUUUAAAAUUUUACAUGAUUUGAGUUCA
rnacentral:rRNA from 1 species